UUACAUAGGCCUGAUUUUGGGCCUGCUGGAUCUGUCUCAAGGCGUUCAGGGCAUCAGUCAUGUUUGAUGAGUGUACAUUGUCUGAUGUGUGUGUGUGUCAUUUCUCACUCAAUCAACAAGUGCACGUCUGUUCAGGUGUGUGUUUCUCUUCAUUUUGAGUCAGUGUGUGUAGAUGUGUAUGUUUGCGUGUUUAUCACUUUCCUGUUCUGGUGUUUUGGGUAAACCACGGCCUGAAGCGUGCCCUGGGGUCCUGCCCUCCUCCUUUUCAGUCCGGUUGCGACCAUUGCUGCUGCUGCUGCUGCUCAAAGUUCAGUCUGUCCUGGUUUUGGCCCCAAUUGGGGCAGUCCUUUCUUCUUCUGUGUUUUGUCCAUUCUGAGGUGCCUUUUGACCUCAGUUGCUCCUCCUGUCUCUGGCACGCCCUUUCUUCUGCUGCCCGAUCAUCCGUGUUGGUCCAUCACUGUCCUGCACAGUGUUAAAUGCAAAGUUAUCAAGGUCAGCAUUCUUUUGCUCGGCCUUACUUUUCAUUCGGGCUUAAUGGGCGUCUCGUCACAGGUCUGUCAGCUGAAGCUGUCUGGAAAUCUCCCCCGUGUAGUGAAACGGGCCUUGGAUUUAACGCUCUCCAUCUCUGCUGCAUGAGAUCGCUUUCCUGUAGCACUGUUGACAUUUUUAGAUUGUUGUUAUGGGUCCAGCUGCUGCAGCAUUUGGUCAGGGUCAGAGAUGGUAGAGGGGAGAGCAGGAGUCCAGGUCAGCUUCGGCUUUCAGGGCCGGCAAAGCAGCCUGUAAUCAAGCAUAGAGAGGGAAAAACAAAAAACAAAACAAAAACAGACGAACAGGAAGAUGAUGUUGUAUUUUCUGAACACAUUAAUACUCAAAGACGAACGUUUCCCAAGGUACAAGCGUGUAGGGCACUUAUAGCGUGUACAUAAACUUAUUCACUGUUUUAAUACUGCCGAAGCACUUCUCACAGCGUUCACGGAGAAAAAACGUCAAAGAUAGGUUAAUGAUCAGAGCGCUCCCUCGCUCCCAUUUCCGCACGUACAAUACAAAGAUCGCUUGUGAUAACGAUGUCUCACUCUGAGCAAAUUUCAAACCCACACAUUUUAACUGUUUUUAGCAUGAAUCACAUAAUAUUUCUUAACUUUGAACUUAUUUAUCACCUUGCUUACGUAACUUAAUCAGAUUAUGCACUAACUACUGACUUUUGACCAAAAGGCAUAACAACUUGUUAAUGCUUGUUUGCCGUGUU
ensembl:lncRNA